CUGUCCCAUGCUCAUGUUCCAUGUUCCUGUUCCUGUCCCGUUUGCCUCCAGGGGGUUCCAGCCCGCGCCUUCGCCUUCGCCUUCGCCUUCGCCUUCGUCUACGUCGCCAGCCUCCAGGGGGUUCCAGCCCGCGCCUUCGCCGCCAGCCUCCUCUUCUUUGCAAAACAGCUUAUUCUGCUAUUGACUCUUGCUUUGUGUUGUUUGGUGGAUUGGAUGACUGAAGUCUUAAUUUCACAAGAGAUUAAUUCAACCAACAGUGACCUCAGUAGCAUGUGAUGCCGCAACAGCCUGUCAUGUUCUCCUCAUGCUGGUCACCAGCCUGGUCACAGACUGCUGCAGGAUGGCAUGUCAUUCUUCAACCAUUUAUUGCAUGUCAACCAACGUGGUUGUGUUGGUCACCCUGGCACGAACAGCAAACCCAAGCUGAUCACACAAGUGUUCAGUGAGGUUGAGAUCAAGACUGCUGGCAGGACAUUCCAUCCUCUCCACUCCCAAAUUCUGCAGGUAGUCGGUUUGU